rnacentral:rRNA from 1 species
AUUGAACGCUGGCGGCAUGCUUUACACAUGCAAGUCGAACGGUAACAGGUUAAGCUGACGAGUGGCGAACGGGUGAGUAAUGCAUCGGAACGUGCCCGAUCGUGGGGGAUAACGCAGCGAAAGCUGCGCUAAUACCGCAUGCGAUCUGAGGAUGAAAGCGGGGGACCGUAAGGCCUCGCGCGAUCGGAGCGGCCGAUGUCAGAUUAGGUAGUUGGUGGGGUAAAGGCCCACCAAGCCGACGAUCUGUAGCUGGUCUGAGAGGACGACCAGCCACACUGGGACUGAGACACGGCCCAGACUCCUACGGGAGGCAGCAGUGGGGAAUUUUGGACAAUGGGCGAAAGCCUGAUCCAGCAAUGCCGCGUGCAGGAAGAAGGCCUUCGGGUUGUAAACUGCUUUUGUACGGAGCGAAAAGGUCCUUUCUAAUACAAGGGGCUCAUGACGGUACCGUAAGAAUAAGCACCGGCUAACUACGUGCCAGCAGCCGCCGUAAGAC